rnacentral:rRNA from 1 species
AAUGCGGUUGAAAACCUCGUAAUUGAACUUUGGCCUUGGUUUGUGAGGUUCGGCCUUCACUGGUCGGUACCUUUACGAACCGGGCUCCACCUUCUGGGUUAGCCAGUUGUUACUUCGGUGCAGCUGGUGAACCAGAACUUUUACUUUGAAAAAAUUGGAGUGUUUAAAGCAGGCUUUCAAGCUUGAACAUAUUAGCAUGGAAUAAUGAAAUAGGACUUUGGCCUUAUUUCGUUGGUUUCUAAAGCCAAGGUAAUGAUGAAUAGGGAUAGUUGGGGACAUUAGUAUUCAAUUGUCAGAGGUGAAAUUCUUGGAUUUAUUGAAGACUAACUUCUGCGAAAGCAUUUGUCAAGGAUGUUUUCAUUAAUCAAGAACGAAAGUUAGGGGAUCGAAGACGAUCAGAUACCGUCGUAGUCUUAACCAUAAACUAUGCCGACUAAGGAUCGGAUGGUGUUAUAUUUAUAUUGACCCAUUCGGCAUUUCAGCGAAAGCCAAGUUUUUGGGUUCCGGGGGGAGUAUGGUCGCAAGGCUGAAACUUAAAGGAAUUGACGGAAGGGCACCACCAGGAGUGGAGCCUGCGGCUUAAUUUGACUCAACACGGGGAAACUCACCAGGUCCAGACAUAGUAAGGAUUGACAGAUUGAGAGCUCUUUCUUGAUUCUAUGGGGUGGUGGUGCAUGGCCGUUCUUAGUUCGUGGAGUGAUUUGUCUGGUUAAUUCCGAUAACGAACGAGACCUUACUCUGCUAAAUAGCCAGCAUGACUUUGGUCGUGUCCUUUUUGGCUUCUUAGAGAGACUAUCAAUGUUUAUUUGAUGGAAGUUUGAGGCAAUAACAGGUCUGUGAUGCCCUUAGAUGUCUGGGCGCACGCGCGCUACACUGAU